UACGUAGGGGGCAAACGUUGUCCGGAUUUAUUGGGCGUAAAGAGCGUGUAGGCGGCCAAGCAGGUCAGCUGUGAAAACUCGAGGCUCAACCUCGAGACGUCGGUUGAAACCGUUUGGCUAGAGUCCGGAAGAGGAGAGUGGAAUUCCCGGUGUAGCGGUGAAAUGCGCAGAUAUCGGGAAGAACACCCGUGGCGAAGGCGGCUCUCUGGGACGGUACUGACGCUGAGACGCGAAAGCGUGGGGAGCGAACAGG
rnacentral:rRNA from 1 species